rnacentral:rRNA from 1 species
GAUGAACGCUGGCGGCGUGCUUAACACAUGCAAGUCGAACGGAAAGGCCCAAGCUUUCUUGGUUUCUCGAGUGGCGCACGGGUGUGUAACACGUGGGUGUUCUGCCCUGCACUUCCGGAUAUGCCUUCGAAACUGGGUCUAAUACCGCAUAUGAUGUUGUUUUGGAUGCCAUUGUGGAAAGUUUUUUCGGUUUGGGAUCAGUUCGGGGCCUAUCCGCUUGAUAGUGGGGUAUUGGCGUACCAAGGCCUUGACGGGUAGCCGGCAUGAGGGAGUGGAGGGCCGGAUUAGAACUGAGAGACGGGCCAGAGUAGGAAGGGAGGCAGCAGGGGGGAAUAUCGGACGAUGGAAGGAAGCGUGAUGGAGGGAGGCCGCGGGGGGGAUGACGGCCUUCGGGAUGGAAGAACAUAUGGCUAAGGAAGGAGGGUUUUUGUGACGGUACCUGGAGAAGAAGCAACGGCUAACUACGUG